UACGUAGGGACCAAGCGUUGUUCGGAUUUACUGGGCGUAAAGGGCGCGUAGGCGGCAUGACAAGUCACUUGUGAAAUCUCCGGGCUUAACUCGGAACUGCCAAGUGAAACUGUCAAGCUAGAGUGCAGAAGGGGCAAUCGGAAUUCUUGGUGUAGCGGUGAAAUGCGUAGAUAUCAAGAGGAACACCUGAGGUGAAGACGGGUUGCUGGGCUGACACUGACGCUGAGGCGCGAAAGCCAGGGGAGCAAACGGG
rnacentral:rRNA from 1 species